AUGAAGAAACUAACCGGACUUAGC
rnacentral:siRNA from 1 species